AACUAACAAGGAUUCCCUUAGUAACUGCGAGUGAAGUGGGAAAAGCUCAAAUUUAAAAUCUGGCAGUCCUUUUGGCUGUCCGAGUUGUAAUCUAGAGAAGCAUUAUCUGUGCUGAAUCCAUGUAUAAGUCUCCUGGAAUGGAGUGUCAUAGAGGGUGAGAAUCCCGUCUUUGACAUGGGCUAUCAGUGCGUUGUGAUGUGCUCUCAAAGAGUCGAGUUGUUUGGGAAUGCAGCUCUAAAUGGGUGGUAAAUUCCAUCUAAAGCUAAAUAUUGGCGAGAGACCGAUAGCGAACAAGUACCGUGAGGGAAAGAUGAAAAGAACUUUGGAAAGAGAGUUAAACAGUAUGUGAAAUUGUUGAAAGGGAAACGCUUAAAGUCAGUCACAUUGAUCAGGGAUCAACCUUGCUUUUUUGCUUGGUGCAUUUUCUGAUCAAUGGGUCAGCAUCAAUUUUGACCAGUGGAAAAAGGCUGAGGGAAUGUGGCAUCUUUUGAUGUGUUAUAGCUCUCUGUCAUAUACAUUGGUUGGGAUUGAGGAAUUCAGCAUGCCGCAAGGCCGGGUUUUAACCACGUUCAUGCUUAGGAUGCUGGCAUAAUGACUUUAAUCGACCCG
rnacentral:rRNA from 1 species